rnacentral:lncRNA from 10 species
CGACAGAGCGAGACUCAAUCUCAAAAAAAUUGUGCCUGUUCUUUCCUCUGGAGACGGGUAGAGCAGCCUCACAGGGUACGGCCAGGAGGGAGGCACCCCGUGGAAGAGGCAUCUCAGGCACGGUCUCGGGAAGGAUCGUGGUUGUGCCAGAAGGAUUGUUUCCUCCAGCCUACUCCUGAACCUGGAAACCAGCAGCUGCUCUCUCAAUCAAGGAGAAAGAAAGUAGAGGCCGCACCUUCCUUACGUGGUGCUCAUGGAUUCAGGGAAGAAACCCAAAUCAUGACAUGAAGAUGAAGAAACAGGCACAGUGAUGGCAGGUGACUUGUUCAAAGAGCUAGACCAGCUCAAGGCCUACGUUCUUUACCACUGAGGCCUGUGUGUCUCUUAGAGUAAGAUACAAUCCCACCCUCCAAGGAGCCCCUCUGGAAACUUCCCAGCACCUUUUCCUAAAAGCUUUGAUCCUGGCCAGAAGACCUCAGCUUUCGUCUUUUCGUCUAUAAAAUAUGAACUCUAAUACUCUCAGCUUCUUAGAACUGUUGAGUAAGUAACGUGAUGCUUAAGAGUGAUAAGCCGAGCGCUCCAAGGUGUCUGUUGAAUGGAAGUGACAACAAUUUAUAUUAAUUGAUUCCAAAUGUGUAUUCAUUUAUUGUCAUGGAAUCAGGUGUGUUCAGCUCAGUUUUGUGGGUUCAAGGUCAUGACACCCCUUUCUGUCCUGCUCUCUGCUACAUACUGGGCAAAAGGGGCCUCAAAAGGGUGGCCUCCCCUGCUACAGAAGCUUGUGAUAGGAUAAGACCACAUAGAUGAGAAGAGAGCUAAGAUUUUCUCAAUCCUUUUCAUCUUUCUUCGACCAAAUGCAUCCUGCAAACGAACUGACUAUAUACAGAUAUCUUCGCAAGCUCUUGAAGACCCCAAACAGUACCUUUUGGAGGGUGGCUAUUAUGGGCUGAAUUGUGUGCUCCCCACCAAAAUUCCUAUGUUGAAG